rnacentral:rRNA from 1 species
ACGGCGUAGUGAGCAGCUAUAGCUCAAAUUUGAAAUCUGGCGUCUUCGGCGUCCGAGUUGUAAUUUGUAGAGGAUGCUUCUGGGCAGCCACCGACCUAAGUUCCUUGGAACAGGACGUCAUAGAGGGUGAGAAUCCCGUAUGCGGUCGGAAAGGCACCCUACACGUAGCUCCUUCGACGAGUCGAGUUGUUUGGGAAUGCAGCUCUAAAUGGGAGGUAAAUUUCUUCUAAAGCUAAAUAUUGGCCAGAGACCGAUAGCGCACAAGUAGAGUGAUCGAAAGAUGAAAAGCACUUUGGAAAGAGAGUUAAAAAGCACGUGAAAUUGUUGAAAGGGAAGGGAUUGCAACCAGACUUGCUCGCGGUGUUCCGCCGGUCUUCUGACCGGUUCACUCGCCGCGUUGCAGGCCAGCAUCGUCUGGUGCCGCUGGAUAAGACUGGAGGAAUGUAGCUCCCUCGGGAGUGUUAUAGCCUCUAGUGAUGCAGCGAGCGCCGGGCGAGGUCCGCGCUUCGGCUAGGAUGCUGGUGUAAUGGUCGUAAUCCGCCCGUCUUGAAACACGGACCAAGGAGUCUAACAUCUAUGGGAGUGUUCGGGUGUCAAACCCCUACGCGUAAUGAAAGUGAACGGAGGUGAGAACCGCAAGGUGCAUCAUCGACCGAUCGUGAUGUCUUCGGAUGGAUUUGAGUAUGAGCAUAGCUGUUGGGACCCGAAAGAUGGUGAACUAUGCCUGAAUAGGGUGAAGCCAGAGGAAACUCUGGUGGAGGCUCGCAGCGGUUGUGACGUGCAAAUCGAUCGUCAAAUUUGGGUAUAGGGCGAAAGUCUAUCG